rnacentral:rRNA from 1 species
GAUGAACGCUGGCGGCGUGCCUAAUACAUGCAAGUCGAGCGAACAGACGAGGAGCUUGCUCCUUUGACGUUAGCGGCGGACGGGUGAGUAACACGUGGGUAACCUACCUAUAAGACUGGGAUAACUUCGGGAAACCGGAGCUAAUACCGGAUAAUAUUUCGAACCGCAUGGUUCGAUAGUGAAAGAUGGCUCUGCUAUCACUUAUAGAUGGACCUGCGCCGUAUUAGCUAGUUGGUAAGGUAACGGCUUACCAAGGCAACGAUACGUAGCCGACCUGAGAGCGAGAUCGGCCACACUGGAACUGAGACACGGUCCAGACUCCUACGGGAGGCAACAGUAGAGAAUCUUCCGCAAGGGGCGAGAGCCUGACGGAGCAACGCCGCGUGAGGGAUGAAGGUCUUCGGAUCGGAAAACUCUGUUAUUAGGAAAGAACAAACGUGUAAGUAACUGUGCACGUCUUGACGGUACCUAAUCAGAAAGCCACGGCUAACUACGUG